rnacentral:rRNA from 1 species
CCCUUAGAUGUUCUGGGCGGCCCGCGCACUACAAUGGCGUGUGCAGCGAGUGCCGAAGUAGAGUUUUCCGAGGUAUUCUUGCAAUGCUCGUUUUGAUGGGGAUAGACCCUUGCAACUGUUGGUUUUGAACGAGGAAUUCCUUGUAAGCAUGGUUUAUCAUCCGACGCUGAAUGCGUCCCUGCCCUUUGUACACACCGCCAGUCGCUCCUACCGAUGAGUCGUCCGGUGAAGUUCGUAGACCUCGUGAUCGCGGAUCACUGGGGGAAGCAAAAUGAACCUCGCGGUUUAGAGGAAGGAGAAGUCGUAACA